AUCGCUUCUCAGCCUUUUGGCUAAGAUCAAGCGUAAUAUCUGUUCUUAUCAGUUUAGUAUUUUUUUUAAUUGGCUCUUUCCAUCAUGAACAGACAUGUGGCAGUGGUUUCCAUCUUAAACAGAGAAAAACACAUAUUUUCUCUUCCCAUU
ensembl:snRNA U2 U2 spliceosomal RNA